AGGUGCAAUCGGAUACCAAUUAGCUGCAAUCAGAUACCAAUUAGCUGCAAUCAGAUACCAAUUAGCUGCAAUCAGAUACCAAUUAGCUGUAAUCGGAUACCAAUUAGCUGCAGUCAGUCACCAAAGGGGGAAGGAUUUUCAAAUUGUUUCCUUAAUUGAUCCAAUUGAAACAUAGAAGGAAGAAAGUAAUAAGGAGGAAAUACUUGAGGAUACGCCCGGAUUAUCCAGAAAGGAAACAGAGGAACGUUUUUCUUAGGAUGGAAAUUAGCUUCCUAAAAUGGGACGAGAUUGAAUAUUCAGGGGAUCUGAUUUCCUUUACCAGGCUGGAGGGAAUUGAGGAUUAUGAUUCACCAUUGCGAGAAAAAAAAAGAAAGAAAAACAUUAUUCAUCCGAGAGAGCAACUUACCAUCACCCAAACAUUGGAGACGCUAGACGGUCACUGAUCAUCACUACCUGGUAGGAAGGGACAUCACGGCCAGAGGAGGCGAAGACCAUUCGCUUUCAUUAGCUCCUUUCACCAAUGCUUUUAAAGCUGCGAAGGUAAGGCUCCAUAUCUAAGCUCUUAGUUUUAUAUGAAUGCAUGCUCUCUAUUAUGUCUGGAUAUGAAUGAAUGGUAUUUGAUGAGUGCAUAUAGUGGGGUUUGUCUUCCNUGGAUAUGAAUGAAUGAUCUUUGAUCACUGCACAUAGUUACCUUCAUCUUCUUCAUGGCAUACUGCGUUAAUCAAAACUGUACCAAAAAUAUAUAUUCAAUGCCAACAAAAUUCAUCAGAUAAAAUGACAAUAGGGAAUAGAUGGAUAUUCUUCAAGCAUCGGACUUCAAUNUCCAUUACUUUCACCCAGAAAUCACAUGUAAUGAAAAGAAAACAGAGAUAGAAUCAAAUGUAUCCUCAUGCCAAUUUUCAUAACAAAAAAGGAAAACAUAGAGUGGAAGUAGUUUCUUCUCCCUUGCAAGNUGUAUAGCCAGUCUCCGUUUUGAAUCGCCUUUCACCUGUGAUAAACAAAUCAACUGACCAAAUUGCAAACCCUCUGCCAUUUUAUUCACAAUUUGUCCUCUCGAGCAAACCACCACCAUUCAACUUCUUGGGAUAACCAUCGACCAUUUCCCCCAAUUCCCAGUUUCGCAUUCCAAGAAAUCUUCACACCUUUAAUCACAAACCUGAACCUACAAAUCAAUGUUUCGCAUCACGACCCAAAAUCCCAGUGAACCAAAACAUCAAUUGAUAGAUAAAUUAACUAAUAAUAAAAACGCCUUCGUCCAAGACAGUGGCAGUGUGGGUCGCUGGGAAUUCUUGGUUUAGACAAAUAGGAAACCCUGAACAGAGAGGGACGAGAGCGGCACUAUAGCGCCGGUGAGGGCAACGUCCGGCGGUUUGACGGUGAUAGCUGUCGGAGGGGCGCUGGCGCACUUGAGGAGAAACCCCAACCCUAGGUCGAACAGGUAGAGAGGGGGGAGGGUGAGAACGUCGCGACCGGUGGUUGUCACAGCAAGGCGUGAUGUCGCUGGCGACUUCGAGGCUAGCAGGGGAGGAUGGCGCGGUUCCGCCGGCGAUUCAAGAGUGGUGGUGGCUUCAGGGGACGUCGUCUGACGAUUUGACGGUGGGGUGGCCGUUUAGAAAUAGUGGUGGCUUGUGAUGGUGCGGCGGAGAGAGCGAGGGAGACCCAUGGUCUNUGGAGGGUGAGGGCGAGAGAGAGAUUUGAGAUCUCUCCGUUUGGCAAAUGGGUAAAAUGAGGGAGAAAUGGGAGAACCCCUAUUUCUUGAAGUGGAGGGAUACAUGGGCUUCUGGCCAAACCCAAAAACCAAAAAGGAAUAAAAACUGUUCUAUCUGCACCCCCUUUUCUCAUCCUCG
rnacentral:lncRNA from 1 species